AUUUUUUAUUGAAGUGGGGUAAAAAUUUUUGGAAAUUUUUUACUUUUAAAAAUUCCAUAUUGUGAACAUCAGUAAACUAUAUACAGUGUUUUUUCAUCAAAGAUCAUCGUACAAUCAAAGGAUCAAAAGAAAUUUCUUAAAGUGUUUUUUUUUUUGGAUCAUCGGAUGGAUCAUCAAUGGAUCAAAGAUGAAGAUCACAAAGGGUAUAGAGUAGCACGAGUUAUGAUAUCUACAGGAGCGGAAUUCUUCACGAGUCGAGCUAGUUAGUUCUGAUCGUCAGGAUUUUCGUUGUAAUUUUGCUGUUAAAUUUUUUGCAGCUAUUUGGUAUAAAAAUAAAA